rnacentral:rRNA from 1 species
AUACGUAGGGGGGCGCGCGUUGUCCGGAAUGACUGGGCGUAAAGGGCGUGUAGGCGGCGGUGUAAGUCUGGAGUGAAAGUCCCGCAUUCAAUGUGGGAAUUGCUUUGGAUACUGCAGUGCUAGAGUGCGGAAGAGGUAAGUGGAAUUCCCAGUGUAGCGGUGAAAUGCGUAGAGAUUGGGAGGAACACCAGUGGCGAAGGCGCAUUACUGGGCCGUAACUGACGCUGAGGCGCGAAAGCGUGGGGAGCGAACAGGAUUAGAUACCCUGGUAGUCCACGCGGUAAACGAUGAAUGCUAGGUGUUGCGGGUAUCGACCCCUGCAGUGCCGGAGUAAACACAAUAAGCAUACCGCCUGGGGAGUACGGCCGCAAGGUUGAAACUCAAAGGAAUUGACGGGG